CGCUGGGGAACCUCCUCCCAGCCUAAUGGUGGAGACUGGGUACCCAGUACAGUGUUCAGGCUGCUGUGGUUCAUACGUACUGGAACCCCAGAGUAGGGGCGGCCUUCCCCAUGGCAAUGCCUGAUGAGUACUUUGAAUUACAGAUAUCUGUACAGGCCCUGUUAAAAAUGCCGCUCUUCAGGGCAUUUCGUGUUUUCCGUUAAGGGCUCCUGGGACUUGUAAAUUCAGUUCAACUCACCUUCUGGAGAAUGGUCCCUGCCCAGAGGAAGUCUGAGCCAUAAGCUGCGACGGGACCUAACUUCGGUGCCCCUUCAAUGUGGAACAUGUGGUCAUCAAAGAAGAUGUGGGGCCGGAUCUUCACCAAGAUGGGACUUUUGGGGGCUCCAGCAAGGAAAAGAGCUUCGUCUAUCUCUAGACCCCAGCGUCGAAGGGUCUUCAGUACACGGGCGCCUGAACUGGCUGCACUCCUAGCUGUAACCAGGUAGGUCCUGAUAGGACAAAGUAACCGUUCAUUUUUGGCAUAGAACUUCUUUUGCAGUCUGCCUAAAUCUUCCAGAAAGCCUUUUACGGGACCCUGUAAAAGGAACAUAUAUCACAGCUGUGAUACAAUGAGCCAGAGAAAGUGAGUGCUGAAAAGCAGAGACGUAUAAGAUACAAUACGAAGGAUAUGAUACAGCAUGACAUGCUUAUGAAGCGGAUGGCAAAAUGCUAAAACUUGAUAUGUAUUCAUGUGAAUAUGUUUUCUAAUAUGGAAUCAUCCUUGCAUUCCUGGAUUGAGCCUAAAAUGACCAUAUGAUUUAACAUCUAAACAUGUAUACUUUAAGUAUGAAAGAAUAUUCUAUAAAUAAUUAAACCAGGACAACAGACAUGAAUUAUCCAUGGUAAGCUAGAAUACAGGGUCACUCUAAAUAAAAUCUAAUUAGUUACCAAAGCACUACUCUUUUAAUUCACUUUUUGUGAUUUGUGCGUUUUAACUUCAUAGAGUAUACUCUUGUCUAG